rnacentral:rRNA from 1 species
AGAUAUUAGAAAGAAUACCAAUUGCGAAGGCAGCUUUCUGGAUCAUUACUGACACUGAGGAACGAAAGCAUGGGUAGCGAAGAGGAUUAGAUACCCUCGUAGUCCAUGCCGUAAACGAUGUGUGUUAGACGUUGGAAAUUUAUUUUCUGUGUCGCAGCGAAAGCGAUAAACACACCGCCUGGGGAGUACGACCGCAAGGUUAAAACUCAAAUGAAUUGACGGGGACCCGCACAAGUAGUGGAGCAUGUGGUUUAAUUCGAAGAUACGCGCAGAACCUUACCAACACUUGACAUGUUCGUCGCGACUUUAAGAGAUUAAAGUUUUCGGUUCGGCCGGACGAAACACAGGUGCUGCAUGGCUGUCGUCAGCUCGUGUCGUGAGAUGUUGGGUUAAGUCCCGCAACGAGCGCAACCCUCACUUUUAGUUGCCAUCAUUUAGUUGGGCACUCUGAAAGAACUGCCAGUGAUAAGCUGGAGGAAGGUGGGGAUGACGUCAAGUCCUCAUGGCCCUUACGUGUUGGGCUACACACGUGCUACAAUGAUAUCUACAACAGGAAGCAAGACGGCGACGUUAAGCAAAUCCUUAAAAGAUAUCUCAGUUCGGAUUGCACUCUGCAACUCGAGUGCAUGAAGCUGGAAUUACUAGUAAUCGUGGAUCAGCGUGCCACGGUGAAUGCGUUCCCGGGUCUUGUACACACCGCCCGUCACACCAUGGGAGUUGGUUCUACCUUAAGGCAAGGUUUAAUACCCUUGACCACGGUAUAGUCAGCGACUGGGGUGAAGUCGUAACAAGGUAGCCGUAGGGGAACCUGCGGCUG